CGCUGGCGGCAGGCCUAACACAUGCAAGUCGAGCGGUAGAGAGAAGCUUGCUUCUCUUGACAGCGGCGGACGGGUGAGUAAUGCCUAGGAAUCUGCCUGGUAGUGGGGGAUAACGUUCGGAAACGGACGCUAAUACCGCAUACGUCCUACGGGAGAAAGCAGGGGACCUUCAGGCCUUGCGCUAUCAGAUGAGCCUAGGUCGGAUUAGCUAGUUGGUGGGGUAAUGGCUCACCAAGGCGACGAUCCGUAACUGGUCUGAGAGGAUGAUCAGUCACACUGGAACUGAGACACGGUCCAGACUCCUACGGGAGGCAGCAGUGGGGAAUAUUGGACAAUGGGCGAAAGCCUGAUCCAGCCAUGCCGCGUGUGUGAAGAAGGUCUUCGGAUUGUAAAGCACUUUAAGUUGGGAGGAAGGGCCAUUACCUAAUACGUGAUGGUUUUGACGUUACCGACAGAAUAAGCACCGGCUAACUCUGUGCCA
rnacentral:rRNA from 1 species